rnacentral:rRNA from 1 species
GACGAACGCUGGCGGCGUGCUUAACACAUGCAAGUCGAGCGGAAAGGCCACUUCGGUGGUACUCGAGCGGCGAACGGGUGAGUAACACGUGAGUAAUCUGCCCCUGGCUUUGGGAUAGCCACCGGAAACGGUGAUUAAUACCGAAUAUGACCACUUCUCGCAUGGGAUGGUGGUGGAAAGUUUUUCGGCCAGGGAUGUGCUCGCGGCCUAUCAGCUUGAUGGUGAGGUAAUGGCUCACCAUGGCUUCGACGGGUAACCGGCCUGAGAGGGUGACCGGUCACACUGGGACUGAGACACGGCCCAGACUCCUACGGGAGGCAGCAGUGGGGAAUAUUGGACAAUGGGCGGAAGCCUGAUCCAGCAACGCCGCGUGAGGGAUGACUGCCUUCGGGUUGUAAACCUCUUUCGGUGGGGACGAAGCGCAAGUGACGGUACCCACUAAAGAAGCACCGGCCAACUACGUGCCAGCAGCCGCGGUAAUACGUAGGGUGCGAGCGUUGUCCGGAAUUAUUGGGCGUAAAGGGCUCGUAGGCGGUUUGUCGCGUCGGGAGUGAAAACCAGGUGCUUAACACCUGGCUUGCUUUCGAUACGGGCAGACUAGAGGUAUUCAGGGGAGAACGGAAUUCCUGGUGUAGCGGUGAAAUGCGCAGAUAUCAGGAGGAACACCGGUGGCGAAGGCGGUUCUCUGGGAAUUACCUGACGCUGAGGAGCGAAAGUGUGGGGAGCGAACAGGAUUAGAUACCCUGGUAGUCCACACCGUAAACGUUGGGCGCUAGGUGUGGGGUCCAUUCCACGGAUUCCGUGCCGCAGCUAACGCAUUGAGCGCCCCGCCUGGGGAGUACGGCCGCAAGGCUAAAACUCAAAGGAAUUGACGGGGGCCCGCACAAGCGGCGGAGCAUGCGGAUUAAUUCGAUGCAACGCGAAGAACCUUACCUGGGUUUGACAUACACCCUGCCGCUCCAGAGAUGGGGCUUCUUUUGGGGGUGUACAGGUGGUGCAUGGCUGUCGUCAGCUCGUGUCGUGAGAUGUUGGGUUAAGUCCCGCAACGAGCGCAACCCUCGUUCUAUGUUGCCAGCACGUAAAGGUGGGGACUCAUAGGAGACUGCCGGGGUCAACUCGGAGGAAGGUGGGGAUGACGUCAAGUCAUCAUGCCCCUUAUGUCCAGGGCUUCACGCAUGCUACAAUGGCCGGUACAAAGGGCUGCGAUCCCGUGAGGGGGAGCGAAUCCCAAAAAGCCGGUCUCAGUUCGGAUUGGGGUCUGCAACUCGACCCCAUGAAGUCGGAGUCGCUAGUAAUCGCAGAUCAGCAACGCUGCGGUGAAUACGUUCCCGGGCCU